GACGAACGCUGGCGGCGUGCUUAACACAUGCAAGUCGAACGGAAAGGCCCUGCUUUUGUGGGGUGCUCGAGUGGCGAACGGGUGAGUAACACGUGAGUAACCUGCCCUUGACGUUGGGAUAACUUCAGGAAACUGGGGCUAAUACCGGCUAGGAGCUCCUGCUGCAUGGUGGGGGUUGGAAAGUUUCGGCGGUUGGGGAUGGACUCGCGGCUUAUCAGCUUGUUGGUGGGGUAGUGGCUUACCAAGGCUUUGACGGGUAGCCGGCCUGAGAGGGUGACCGGCCACAUUGGGACUGCGAUACGGACCAGACUCCUACGGGAGGCAGCAGUGGGGAAUAUUGCACAAUGGGCGGAAGCCUGAUGCAGCAACGCCGCGUGCGGGAUGACGGCCUUCGGGUUGUAAACCGCUUUCGCCUGUGACGAAGCGUGAGUGACGGUAAUGGGUAAAGAAGCACCGGCUAACUACGUG
rnacentral:rRNA from 1 species